AUUGAACGCUGGCGGAAUGCUUUACACAUGCAAGUCGAACGGUAGAGGGGGCAACCCCUCGAGAGUGGCGAACGGGUGAGUAAUAUAUCGGAACGUGCCCAGUCGUGGGGGAUAACGUAGCGAAAGUUACGCUAAUACCGCAUACGAUCUACGGAUGAAAGCGGGGGACUCGCAAGAGCCUCGCGCGAUUGGAGCGGCCGAUAUCAGAUUAGGUAGUUGGUGGGGUAAAGGCUCACCAAGCCAACGAUCUGUAGCUGGUCUGAGAGGACGACCAGCCACACUGGAACUGAGACACGGUCCAGACUCCUACGGGGAGGCAGCAGUGGGGAAUUUUGGACAAUGGGCGCAAGCCUGAUCCAGCAAUGCCGCGUGCGAGGAAGAAGGCCUUCGGGUU
rnacentral:rRNA from 1 species